UACGAAGGGGGCUAGCGUUGUUCGGAAUUACUGGGCGUAAAGCGCGUGUAGGCGGGUCUUUAAGUCAGGGGUGAAAUGCCAAGGCUCAACCUUGGAACUGCCUUUGAUACUGGAGAUCUUGAGUCCGGGAGAGGUGAGUGGAAUUGCGAGUGUAGGGGUGAAAUUCGUAGAUAUUCGCAAGAACACCAGUGGCGAAGGCGGCUCACUGGCCCGGAACUGACGCUGAGACGCGAAAGCGUGGGGAGCAAACAGG
rnacentral:rRNA from 1 species